rnacentral:lncRNA from 1 species
AUGAAAUCUUGUGGCUGGAAGUGCUCCACCGUUAGCUCUAUAGAUUCUUGAACAUUCCUCAAGUUGGAAGCAAAGCCCUGGCAAACCCAUCCGCAAACUCACGGAUUGAAGAUGCUGCUGUUCGAUCGGUGAUAAAUCAUUGGCUGCCUGGCUGGCUGGCUGCUGGGUACCAAAGUAGAGCGCUGACAUGGGAGUAGUAGAGCCAAAAGGCCGGCCAGUCCCAGCGAAGAAAAAUGC